UAAUCGGCCGUUGGACAGUCUGGCGAGGUCAGUGACUUGAGUCUGUUCGGCGUGUUCCGUUCCGUCGUCUGUCCAAGGUGCCGUCGACCUUCAUUUUGGCUGAGUCUGGACA